CCUGAUUUUUCCAACAUGUUAAAUGCUACAUCAUGAUAUACAAUGUAAACCUGACAUAUUUAAGUCAACAAAAAAAAAAGUUUUUUUAAAUUUUUUUUUUAAUAUUACUCACUACUGUUCCUUAUUUGAAAACACCAGUUUUAUUAUACAGCGGGAAUCAUUUUAGAAAAGCGUGGUUUUACUAUUUUCUAUACUUACUGUUUCAAACUACAGAAUCGUUCUUUUUUAUGACAGACGUAAAUACCGCCAGAGUUGCCAUAGUAAACAUCCACAGUCAGAACAAUGUGGCCAAACUGCCUCCUCUCUCGUAUAUAACGCCGUGUAUGUUUGUUUUGAGAGAGCUGGCUUCUUAUUAGUGCAACGAGAGAUCUGUUUUUAUUUUUGUCUAAUGCCCAUUUCGUACAAACAGAAAAUUCACGUAUCUGUUACGUUCUGUAGAAAGACUGAUGUCGCUCAGUCAGUCUCUAUGCAUAUGUGAGUGUGUGUGUACAUACUUGUUUGAUUGACAAUACUUGCAAAUUAUAAUUUCAUUGAUGUUUUUAUGUAUAUGUCGGGUCUCCCUUUUUAUUUCAACCUCUUGGGAUAUUUUAAAACUAACAUGACGGGUGCCAUUUUGACAGCAUAUUAAAUCAACGACAACAGUCCAUCCUUUUUGCUGAAAUGUUAUAAUUAUUAUUAUUUCUUUUUCUUUUUUAUGGAAUAGUGAAAAAGAUGAAACCAUUCCCUUUUAUAGCUGCUGUAAGGACAGUAAACUGUUUCUCAAUGCACUAGCCUUCAAUCUAGUAACGAAAUCACUUCAUUUAGAUGACGAGUUUAAAACUGUGUUAAGGAAAAUUAGUGUGAAAGUUUAAAUAAAAAGCAAUAUCAUACCCAUUCGGUUUUGGGUUGUAUAUCUCUGGAUGCAACACAUGGUCAUUUGAUUAAAAAAAUAUAUAUUUUACUGGUCUAUUUGGUAGCAGCCAUUCACUGCACAAUGUACAUACAGUAUACUUUGCUAUUUUCAACUACAAGCAUUACGAACUGAGGUGCGGUGUCUGCAGAUACCCAAAUUAUACUUUUCUGCAGCAGAACAGUUAGCUAAAAGUUUUAUAACAUCCUUUUAUUAUUUACAUUGAAAUAAUCUAUAAUAUUAAUUCUGAAAAUAUUUUUAAAUUACUGUUAAAGUAUAAUGAAUAUGAAAUAUAUAAUGACAGCAAACACAUAUAAUAAAUAUAAGUGGUUAAAAAUAUUUAUGUAGUACUUAGUUUUGUCAUGUAGUGUCCGAU
ensembl:lncRNA